UACGUAGGGUGCAAGCGUUGUCCGGAAUUAUUGGGCGUAAAGGGCUCGUAGGCGGUUUGUCGCGUCGGGAGUGAAAACUCAGGGCUUAACCCUGAGCCUGCUUCCGAUACGGGCAGACUAGAGGUAUGCAGGGGAGAAUGGAAUUCCUGGUGUAGCGGUGAAAUGCGCAGAUAUCAGGAGGAACACCGAUGGCGAAGGCAGCUCGCUGGGACGGUACUGACGCUGAGGCGCGAAAGCGUGGGGAGCAAACAGG
rnacentral:rRNA from 1 species